CCCGCCUGUUUAUCAAAAACAUGUCUGUGUGAAUUAGUUAUAAAGUCUAGCCUGCCCGAUGAGUUUUUGAAGGGCCGCGGUAAUUUGACCGUGCGAAGGUAGCAUAGUCAGUAGUCUUUUAAUUGAAGGCUUGAAUGAAUGGUUGGACGAGAGACAAGCUGUCUCCUUGGUGUAGGUUGAAUUUAACUUUUAAGUGAAAAGGCUUAAAUUUUUUAGGGGGACGAUAAGACCCUAUAAAACUUAAUAUCUGUUUGGCUUGAUUUGUGAUUUUAGUGAAAAGUAGUUUUGUUAAAUUGAUAUUUCGUUGGGGAGAUGAAGAUAUAAAUUGUAACUGUAAUUUAUAAAACAUAAAUAUAUGAAUAUUUGAUCCAUUAAUAAUGGAUAAAAAAAUAAGGUACCUUAGGGAAAACCGGGUUAUUUUUUCGGAGGGUUUAUAUCGAUCAAAAGGAGUGGGGCCUUGGUGGUGGAAUUAGAUAUAAUUUUGGGUGUAGCCGUUCAGAA
rnacentral:rRNA from 1 species